AAUAUUGCGCAAUGGAGGGAACUCUGACGCAGCGACGCCGCGUGAGCGAUGAAGGCUNNNGGAUCNUCACGCUCUGUCCUUCGNGAANAAGGUCUUCGGACUUGACGGCACCUAAGGAGGAAGCCCCGUCUAACUACGUGCCAGCAGCCGCGGUAAUACGUAGGGGGCAAGCGUUGUCCGGAAUUUUUGGGCGUAAAGGGUGCGUAGGCGGACUUUUAAGUCAGGUGUGAAAGCCCACGGCUUAACCGUGGGAUUGCAUUUGAAACUGGAAGGCUUGAGUAUCGGAGAGGGUAGUGGAAUUCCCAGUGUAGCGGUGGAAUGCGUAGAUAUUGGGAGGAACACCAGUGGCGAAGGCGACUACCUGGACGAAAACUGACGCUGAGGCACGAAAGCUAGGGGAGCAAAC
rnacentral:rRNA from 1 species